CCUACGGGUGGCAGCAGUGAGGAAUUUUGGUCAAUGGACGAGAGUCUGAACCAGCCAAGUAGCGUGAAGGAUGACUGCCCUAUGGGUUGUAAACUUCUUUUAUAUGGGAAUAAAAUGUUCCCCGUGUGGGAUUUUGUAUGUACCAUAUGAAUAAGGAUCGGCUAACUCCGUGCCAGCAGCCGCGGUACUACAGAGGAUCCGAGCGUUAUCCGGAUUUAUUGGGUUUAAAGGGAGCGUAGGUGGAUUGUUAAGUCAGUUGUGAAAGUUUGCGGCCUAACCGUAAAAUUGCAGUUGAAACUGGCAGUCUUGAGUACAGUAGAGGUGGGCGGAAUUCGUGGUGUAGCGGUGAAAUGCUUAGAUAGCACGAAGAACGCCGAUUGCGAAGGCAGUUCACUGGACUGCAACUGACACUGAGGCUCGAAAGUGUGGGUAUCAAACAGGAUUAGAUACCCUGGUAGUC
rnacentral:rRNA from 1 species